CUCUUCCUUUAUAGACUCUCUCCGUUGUGUGACGCCAUUGGGAAAAGCUGUUUGUUAGCUUGAUCUUCCGAAACGGUAGAAUUUGUUUUUUAAGCAUAUUUGGAGGUGAAGUUUGGAGUUUUUUUUUAGUAUGUCUGACGAAGUUAAGAUAUUGGAAAAUGAAACGAAUGAGUCGCAAGAUCAGAUGCAACAAAACCAUUCCGGAGGUGGCGGCGGCGGCGGCCCCCGAGGCGGUGGUCGUGGCCGACGAUUUGGUCGCGGGCGAGAUGAUUCUCGAGGAAUGCGUGGGGAGGGAGGCCACCCGGGCCACCAGAACCACCCGGGCCACCAGAACCACCCGGGCCACCAGGACGAGCCCCAGGAGUUGAUCCCAGGAGCCGGCCGUGGGGGCUAUGGUGGUCGGGGUAGAGGGAGCCGCUUCAGAGGCGGUGGUGGUGGAAUGGGUGGCGGUAUGGGUGGUGGCAUGGGUGGCCGUGAUGAGCGCGUCAUGAGGAACCAGGAUGAUCGUCUAAAUGAGCGCUUGGCAGCACUGGCAGCUCCCACCGUGGAUCUGCAACCACAGGACACAGCAGAGAAGAAGUUCUCAGGAAGGUGUCGUCUGUACGUGGGGAAUUUGACCAAUGAUGUCACAGAGGAGGAAAUGCAGGCACUCUUUCAGCCAUAUGGGGAGACAUCAGAGUUGUUUGUCAACAAGGAAAAGAACUUUGCUUUUAUCAGACUGGAUUAUCGUGCUAAUGCAGAGAAGGCCAAGCGAGAGCUAGAUGGCUCAUUGCGAAAGGGGCGCCCGCUGAAGGUGCGGUUUGCUCCUCACAGUGCCUGCAUCAAGGUCAAGAAUCUCACACCUUGGGUUACCAAUGAGUUGCUGGAGAAAGCUUUCAGUGUUUUCGGAGAGAUUGAGCGUGCAGUCAUAGUGGUGGAUGACCGUGGAAAGUCUAUGGAGGAGGGCAUUGUGGAGUUCUCCAGAAGACCUGCUGCACAGAUGGCCUUGAGGCGCUGCACCGAGGGUUGCUUCUUUCUCACUGCAUCACUGAGACCUGUGGUGCUUGAGCCAUUCGAGCAACUGGAUGAUGUUGAUGGUUAUGCUGAAAAGAAUUUGCCAAGAAAGACACCGGAUUAUUACAAAAUGAGAGAGAUUGGACCAAGGUUUGCACAGCCUGGCACAUUUGAGUAUGAGUAUGGGAUGCGCUGGAAGCAGUUGUACGAGCUGUUCAAGCAGAAGGAACUGGCACUGAAGUCAGAACUCAAGGUGGAGUCUGAGAAGCUGGAGGCCCAGAUGGAGUAUGCUCGCUAUGAGCAUGAGACAGAGAUGUUGCGCGAAGAGUUGCGCAAGCGUGAGCUGGACCGGGAGCGGCAGAAGCGAGAGUGGGAAAUGAAGGAGCGUGCGGCGGAUGAGCAGCGCCUCAAGGACGAGGAGCGCAUCAGGCUGCAGCAGGAGGAGAUGCAGCUGCGCAUGCACCAUCAGGAGGAGGAGUUGCGUCGCCGCCAGCAGGAGAAUACCCUAUUCAUGCAGGAGCAGGCUCUGCGCCAGAACCCGACCAGCUAUGACUCUCCCAAUGCAGAUGGUGCCAUCAGGGAAUACGAAACUGCUUCAGGGGCAGCUGGAGGAGCCUUGCCGCCGAUGCCAAAAUCCCAUCUUUGGAAGAUUUUUGAAGAGUUAUCUGCAAUUGAAAUUGGAAGAUGAUUGAAAUUUAUUUCAAAUGAUUGGCCAUUUACUUCUUCAGGCAUGACUCCAAGUAAGCAAACAAGCUGUGGCUUUCCUUUGGCUAGGCAUCCCUCCAAAUGAGCAAGCGAGCUGUGGUCUGCCAUUGGGUACCACUUCUUUGGAGCCGAUUUGAUGGUGACAGGGUAGGAGUGUGUUCUUGUUAAGAUCAUAAAAUGGUUUUUGAGCCUGAAUGUUUUCAGCUCAUCAAAGUUUCCUCGUAACCAGCAGUGGCUGUUGGUUUCUUAAGGUAUGUAAAAAAAAUUAUUAUUUUUUUAUUUUUAUCCUAAAACAGUUAAAAGAAAGUUCCAAAUAUGGUCUCUACCAAAGUUCUAUUUAACAUAAAAUGGUCCAUUCUGUUUAACAUUUUGGUUUUCUGGAACAUUAUAUAUAUAUAUAUAUAUAUAUAUAUAUAUAUAUAUAUAUAUAUAUAUAUAUAUAUAUAUAUAUAUAUCCUAUGGGUAGGAACUCCAGAAAAUUGUAAACAAAAUUUGUUUAUAAGUGGUGUUACAAUAAAACAAAAAUUGUGGCAAAAAAAAACAGUACUAAAAUAUGAAAGGGGUGCCAAAGAUCUGUUUAAAAAAUUUACUAUAUAGUUCCUGUGAUUAUAAACUUCUCCCCUCACAAAUUCUUAAAAAUGGUAAAUAUUUGGUAAUUCUGAAGAAAAGGCCUUUUUUCUAUAAAAAGAAAAGUUUAAUUCAAGUUGAUUCUAUUCCAUUUGAUCCUAUUCAUUGACUGGGAGGGUGUGUUGAUACUUAUAUUUGUUAUUGCUUUAAUGUGAGGUUAGUUUAGAUAAAUUAAAAGUACAAUGAAAUUCUAUGAAUAGUGUAAGGUUGCCCCAUUAAAAAUACUGUGGAAUUGUAAGAACAUUUUGUUAGGUUAGCUACAUUUAAAAGUAUUAUUAAGUAAUAAGAUGUUUGGUUAUCUUAUGUUAGACAGUUAAUUUUUAAAUUAGUAAUUCAUCAUGGUGGUUAAGUUUUUUUUAAUUAUUUAAGUGCUGGAUGAAUCCAAAUAGAUGCAGAUGGUUUUAUUGGCGCUGGCCAGGUAGCCGCCCGACAGGCAGCAGAGGUAGUUUAGCGGCACAGUAAAUGACGCUUUACACACAGUGCUCAGCUCUAUUAAACAAUUUUUAUUUACUCAUGCUGUAUUUAUUAGAAACCAACACAGGCUAGUUAUUUAAGGACAGUCAACCACAACAGUGCAGUGUUAAUUUUUUUUAAACCAAAAUUUCUCAUUGGUUGCGGUACAUGUUAUUAAAAGUAAAAGUGAAAUAAAAUUUGUUACCCAUGUGCGGAUAAAUGCGGUACCUGCAAGUUUUUUUGUUACCUAAACACCCUAUGAAUAUUUGUUUCACAUUUUGGUGUGCUUGCAUACACUUUAUAUUUUCCUUAUAACUUGACAAUGUUAGGCAUGUUUCGCAAAACAGAAUUUUUUAUUUAAGUUGUUCUUUGGAUUAACAAUAAUCUCUUUUCUGUGAUUAUGUCAAAAAAAGUGUCAUCUGCAUCUCAGGUUCCAAAACAAGGAAUAAACAUCUCUAAUAGUAAUUACAACCGCAAAGUUUUACUCCAAUAACUUUGUAGCAGCAUGCUAAGAGAGGUUUUGGUGAACAACAUGUGGUUCCGAAGGCUAUAGAAAAAUGUGUUUCUGAAAUUUAUUUCUGAUGUAGAAUAAAAAUAAAUUAGUAAUGUUUUGUUGGAGGGGACAUCCAAAAGUUGGGGUCAGCCUAUUUUUGAGUUUAUAUGGUAUAUUUAAUGUAGCUAACCUAACCAAGACCAUUUUCAUUAUAUCACAGUAUUUGUAAUAAAGUAACGACCCUGUAUGUUGCAGUCAUCUAUUUAUUGGUAUGCCUGUUCUUAGCACUGUAAAAAAAUUUUUGUUAAAAGGUCAAGAAUUGGAAGGAAAAAAGCAGGAAAUUCUUUUGAAGCAUGUUGCACUACCUAUCUCCUAGAGAGAGUGUGCUGCAGUGGAUAGCUUUUUUUUAUUAUUAUUUUUUUUUAUUAUAACAUUCCUUCCAUAGAUAAAGGUUAUGUAGCUCCGGCAUGUCUGCGCAUCCUACCUGCCAAUGUAGAAAAUGUCCGGCUAUAAAUGUAAGAUGUACAGGGUGGCCACCCGACCAUAAAAAUCUGGAAAUAUUGAAUUACCUGUGAAUAUUUUGGUGCCUGGAAAUUCGGAAGAUGGUCAUAGGAAAACAUCUGUUAGCAUGUUAAAAAGAGCUUAGUUGAGAUACUGCAUGCCAUGCUUACAAACAGCAUCUUUUAUAAUUUUGAAUGCUGUUUACAGCUUAGUUAAACUAAUUGCCAUGCCUACAGACUGCAUUUCUUAUAUUUUUGUGAGCUCUGGUUACUGGCGAACAUUUGCGGCAGAUGUUAUGUGACGGGGGUUGCCAUGGAAUGUCUCAAUUACAGUAAAACUUGUUUAUGAUGUAUCCGCAUGUUUAAUUUCCCAUCCAAUGUGGUCAAAUGUUUUAGUCCCGCCAUUUUCACCAUAAAAUUUACGUUACUUAUCUUUUCCCAUUUGAAAGAUUGUCCAUGAACUUCUUAUAGCCUGCACUCUAUAGUGGUUAGUGUGUAUUGUUAUGAUAGAUGUAGGUACAACAUGUUAGUUAUGGUCAAUUUUUGUUUUUCUGUUUUUGGUGCAUGACUAAUUUAAAUUUUUUGGCAUGCUUUUGUAUGUUCUUCUUUUUAAUUAAACUUAUUUUCUAUGCGACAUGUUUUGUCAUAAAAAAAACUUACAUCAGAAAUGCUCUUCUAACAUAAAAGUUGCACCCCUAUUUUUAAAACUUGAAUCUCUUAUAAAAUGUGUAGUGAAUAAGUGAUAAAACUCUGUACAACAUUAUGCACCAGUCCUUCACUUAGCAGAUCUUCAUUUAGCACUAUGUUAAUUUUACUGCCCCCAUCUUGAAUAGUACGUCUCUAAAUUUCAGUUAGCAUGGAAUUACCACAGGCCAAAAAAAAAAGUUGGGCUUGACGUCACUAGUAGUCCAAGAUCUGACUGCGAAUUUAGGGAAUAUUUUAGGCAACUUGAAAUUGUUUUAAUAUUUUUUUAUUUUAUUUUUUUAUUUAUAUAUAUAUAUAAUCCAGAAAUGGGUUGACAGUAUAACCUGACCCCUCCAAGUAUAUUUAAUUAAUAGUGAAAAUGCUUUUCUAUCUCCAGACGAAUUUAGUGGUUUGUAAUAACUCCCUGAUGUGAAUAAAGAUUUUAAAUGCUUGCGACAAGAAAGUUUUAUGUGUAACCAUAGGUGUGAGAGAGAGUUUAUCGAGACCUGCCAGCAGCUGCCGGGGCCAUGGCUCUUCGGGCUGUGAUUGGUCGCUGAAAGACCAGGUGACUGGAGUUUAACAUUUAGCUCGCACUCUGCAGAUGCAAAAAAUAUUUAAGCAAGAAUAUAAUGCUGAAAAAUAUAACUGAUGCACAUCUACAGUGAUAUUGAGAAUGUUAUGUUAUGUUUCUAUAAAUAUUUGUGCGACCUUAAUUAUUUUUAAAACAAUGCAGUUCACGUUUUUACAUAUUUUGUAGAUAAUUUAAUUAUUAACUACUGACCUUAUUGUCAAUCUUCUCCCCCCCUUCAUUUUCAAAUUAGAAGCACCCUUGUUUGACACUUUUCCCAUUCAAACAUCAAAUCAGAUUCCAUUUUCUUUGCUAAGCACUAAAUGAUUUGAUAAAUUUAUUAAUAGGUCUUUUACGAUACGUGAGGUUUUAAUCAAAACUUUUUCUACAUGCAACUUCUUGUAAGUUUGUUUAAAAAAUGUAAACCAAGGUGCAUAAGUAUUAAUGUUAAAACAUUCCCUUAAAAUACAAGUUAAUUCAAAUUUGUUUCCCAUUUGGUUACGAAUUCAAUACGAAACAAGAACAACGUGGAUACUUGUCUACAACUUGUUUUCUGCCAAGUACAGUAAGUCCUCUAUUUACGUCGUACCGAUUUACGUCGUUUCGGAUUAACGUCGCUAAUGUUUGAGUACUCGUGUUUCAAUUUAAGUUGUCGCCGAUUCACAAUAACGUCGUUUACAAUGACCGUAAAUCUUUAUUUUAACCAAAACACCGUAUAUAAUUCGUUUAUAAUUCUUUGUUUCCUUCGGUAGUUAAUUUAUGCUAUGUAGCAUAAGCUACACGUUCACCGCCUUAUCAUACAUCAUGAGGGACGCUUCCUGCUCUUACGUACAGUAUGUACUAUAUAUCUGUUUUUAUAUUUCAAUCAAUAAAGGUAAUAAAGCAGCUGGUUAAAUAACCAUUCUAUAAAGCUAAGAAGUACUAGUUGGACUUGUUUCCCACGCUGUCGGUUGUCAUUUGCUGAUAAAAUUGCCCGUGUUCACAUCUGUAUGCCAGCGCUUCCGGCCAGCCGGUGGCAUGAAACAUGGCUCAUUUUGCGUCGUUUCUAUUUACGUCGCGGUUUUCAGGAACGUAACCCCGACGUAAACCGAGGACUUACUGUAUGCUUCUGUAAUGCAGUGAGAUCUAACAAGGUUAAUGGCAAGUGCAUAGUUUGUGAUUCCACUCUCCUCUUGCUGCACGUGUUUAUGUGCUGAUUACCGAUCUCUGGAGUUGUUUCUGUUUGAAACGUCCACAUGCAAGUGAAGAUGGGAAGUGCAUGCUGAAUGUGUUGCGUACUUGUUGCAGGAGCCGAGGUUGUCUGUAGUGGUUGCGUGCGCCUGCGGCAUGAGUCGGCCUAGACCUGCUCCUCACAGACAAUGGCACCGUUCUGGAUGCCAGUCGCCUUGUGAAAUGCUGGCAUGCAGUUCGAUCUCAUUCCUGUGAGCUGCAGCACCCACCCGCAUGGCAUGCCCCCACCCACCUGGCUGUCGCUCGCUUCCCGCCCUCGCCCCUUGUAGAUUUGUGCUAUUGAUCAAAUCACAACAUGUAAUUUCAGGACUGUGCUUUUUUUUGCUUUUGUAACAGACCCAUUUUAACAUCAGUAACCUUGUUUUGUCUUAAUUGUACUUAAUUGUAAUAGAUAAAAUUGGCAUGUUUUUAAAAUACUAAGCUUCGGGGGUUUUAUUAUAAUUCUGAGAACUUACUUUUUAGGAAUGAUCAGAUCACCUGCAUGCAUGUUUUUGUAUUUAACAUCAUGUACAUGCAUGUCUUGCAAGUUGUUACUAAAAAAUUCAUAACUUUUAAUGUUUGUGUUUGUCACUUUAUUUGUGAUCAAGGUUUUAGGUUUUGUGAAAAAAAAUUUACCUAAGAAAUGUUAAAUUUAAUAAUAAAGAAAACUUAUAUUUAAAAUGCUGUUUACUUAAGUCUUCCCGUUUAAUAACUUAAAGGAAUUAGGAAGGAAAAAAAACCUUACACUGAAAGAUGACACAUUCAUACAGCUCUAAGCAUUAUGUUGCAACAGUAGUGUUAUUGUACAUACUAUCUAAAUCAUUAUAUACCCAUGUUAAACUUUCUUUACCAACUGUCACUAGUGACUAAAAAUUGUUCUGGUUUUAUUGGAAAUUUGAAGAAAAAAAAUUUCAUUGUAGUGUUGUAACUAAAAUAAUACUGAAAAAUUUUUUAUAAGUUAAUGAAAAUACAUAAAAAAAUCUUUGUUGCUUCAAGUUUUAGUAUUAUGCAUGAUCUGACAUUAAGUCUUAAAAUGCUUAUUACUAGAUAUGGCAAAAUUAUACACUUAAACUAUUAAUAUUCAUAGACUGAUCAUAUAUGUAGAUACUUAAUCCAAUUUCCAUUACUGGAAACUGGCAUAGUUAUAAUGUUGUGUUUUUUUUUUAUUUUUGUUUAUUUAUUUAUAUAACCUAUAAUUAAAUACAGGCCUCUCGUGUACACCUUCAUUUAUUCCUUGACAAGUAGCAAACUUGUCGUGAAUGGCUGACAAGAGUAUUAGCAGGUACAGUAAAACCCUGUUACGGCCCUGAAAGCACAAGAGAAGUUUUACACGUUGAAUAUGUAUAGGUGCAUUGUGACUAUGAGCAGGAUAGCGGGUUGUUUUGAUUGAGGCAUGCUAUAUAGUUACAACAUACAUCUUAUAAAUUAAAAUUGUAAUGAAAAUUUUCAUUUUCUUAUUAUAGAUAUAGUUGCAUUAUACAUUGUGCUGUGUUAAUGCUUUGUUUGGUCUUCUAGGUGAUCGUGGGUGCUUUUCUUGGGAAUAUUUCCUGUUGGAAAGAUGUUUGCUUUUUAAAUGAAUUUAUUUGUCAAUUUUGUGCCAAACUACUGUGUGCAGUCUUAGUGUGAAAAUAGCAUCUUUUAUGUAUGCAUUGGCUGGAUGUUGGGGGGGGGGGGGGUGUUUAUCAUAAAUUGUACAUAAUGUUUAUUGCCAGUACAUGUAAACCCCCCCCCCCCCUCACCCCCCACCCACCUUACUUCAUGCGAGGGGUUGUAACAACAGGUAUACAAGGGCUUUCACACUAUCUAGUGCGAUAUAAGAGUAUAUUUCACUGGCUGCCUUGUACAAAUCCAGUCUAAACAGUGACAAAAUUAUUCUUAGCAGAUUUGAUAUUGUGCUCAAAUUUAUAGGUUCAUAAACUUAUGCUCUGUAUUGUAAACUGUUGUAGCAGGCAACCAUUGCAAUUUUUGUCAGACAUGUCUUGUACAUUUUGUAUUUAUUUGUUUUUCUUUUUUGUUUCAGACAUUUGUUUUGCAUUGUUUAGUCCAAUUAAAGAGUUACAAUACA